rnacentral:misc_RNA from 1 species
UUUCCGUAGGUGAACCUGCGGAAGGAUCAUUCAUAAUGAGUGUUUAUGGCACUUUUCAAAUUCCAUACCCACCUUGUGUGCAUCGCUAGUCAUGUUCCUUGUUCUCUCGUGCGAGGACAAGGAGGCAGGCUUCAAAUUCAUCUAUCUUUAACCAGUUUGUCUGAGCAAUGUAUCAUGAGUUAACAUAAUUCUAAAAUACAACUUUCAACAACGGAUCUCUUGGCUCUC